GGAGUUGUGGCUAAGUGGUAGAGUGCUUGCCUAGUAUGCAGGAGGCACUGGAUUCAAUUCUCAGCACCG
rnacentral:tRNA from 1 species